CAACAGCUCUGCCCAAGGAUUUUUUAACUAAAAUGGAUGACCUGGCGCAAAAAAUUGAUUUACUACUCUACAAGCUUCAUCAACUCAAGUUGUUGUUUCACAAGAUUUUGCUUUAUCUGGCAAUUAUCUUAUAACUUCUCCUUCAAGAACAUCAUGUUUUUGUUGCUAACAUAUUACGGAUGAGGGACAGCAAUUUAUAGGACAUUUGAUAAUUAUUUUAAAUGGGAUUAUUGCUGGUCUCCUUGUAGUUUUAAAGGUCUGUCAAUGGUUCAAGAAGAAGCUAACACAGACCAACGACGACAUAGAAUUGAUCUCGAUCAACUUUUUAGAACAAGCUUAAUAUUGUAUUAUUUUAACCCAAA